GUGCUCACUUCAGCAGCACACAUACUAACACUGGUACAAUAGAGAGACAAUUAUCAUGGCCCCUGUGCAAGGAAGACACAGAAAUUCAUGGAAUAUUUCAUAUUUUU
ensembl:snRNA U6 U6 spliceosomal RNA